rnacentral:rRNA from 1 species
AUACGUAGGGGGCGAGCGUUGUCCGGAAUGAUUGGGCGUAAAGGGCGCGUAGGCGGCCCGGUAAGUCUGGAGUGAAAGUCCUGUUUUUAAGAUGGGAAUUGCUUUGGAUACUGUCGGGCUUGAGUGCAGGAGAGGUAAGUGGAAUUCCCAGUGUAGCGGUGAAAUGCUUAGAGAUUACACAGAACACCGAUUGCGAAGGCAUCUCACGAAGGGUUGAUUGACGCUGAGGCACGAAAGCGUGGGGAUCAAACAGGAUUAGAUACCCUGGUAGUCCACGCAGUAAACGAUGAUGGCUAACCGCUGGGCUUAUCAGUUCAGUGGCCAAGCGAAAGCGAUAAGCCAUCCACCUGGGGAGUACGACCGCAAGGUUGAAACUUAAAGGAAUUGACGGG